AGAAGAAAUAUUACAGCUGUGUGUUUUUUCUGUAUCCUUAUAAGGUGUGAGGUAUAUGUUCGGCUAUAAAUUUUCUUAUUCAUAUAAGGGAUUAUAUUUUUAAAUGUUAUUUUCCUCUUUUUUCUUAGCAAAUUGUCACCCUCAGAAAAUAUGAUGUUACAACUGCUAAUUGUAUAUAUGUUGAAUCAAUUUUUUGUCUGAUUUGGACUUUUAAGACCUUCAAAUGCGGUACAUGCAUUUAACACCUUUAGAAAAUCGACUUCAUUGUGAUCAUAAAUAUGUAUCUAUAAAGACUAUUGUCAUUUGUGAUAUCACCAAGGCUUUUCAUUGAAGAGCAGCUACCUGUUGUGGUCUUUAAUUUUCUCCAUUUGGCAUGUUCUAUUAACAUUUGGUGCUGCUAUCUAGGUUUGAGUAAUGAAAAGAACAAGAAACACAAAACCAUUUGUGGAUUGUCAAGUCGGGUGAUGAAACUGGGAAUUUGUAAUAGCAAAAGUGUUCCAUUGAUUGCUCAACUUAGAAAAGAUAAUAGAAGUACAAAAGCAUAACUAAGGUUGUUAACCAAACACUUUUUCCUUGUUUCAUCUGUGUUUAGGCUGGCACACGGAAUGCACAGAGAAUUCCCCUGCAAAUCACACUUGUGCUGUUUAUGGAUUUUGAAAUUUGAAUUUAGCUCUGUAGUUGAUAUGGUCUGCCAGUAAUACAGACCACUCUUUGAUUAUAUUUUUUUUCUGCUUGAUCCUUCAUUCGCUAUUCUCUAUAAAAGGUAGAUCUUAGUCCUCAAUUUGGUGCUAGAAAUUUGCUAUAUGGCAAAUCACCACAGAAAAAUUUCAUUUUGACAAAUCCCAGAACCCAGAAUUUGUAUUCGUUAGAAUGGCAAGGAAAGUAGAAA